GGGGGUGCACUGGGUUCGAUGGAAGACCUGAAGCGACGGAUGCAUACCGGGAAGCUUGUAACCCGUAAACUGCAGGCAAACGUUAACUGCGAAUACUGAACUCGCACUGGCGGCCUAACGUGCCGUCCGCUCGCCCGCCCAUCGCCGGUGUGUGCGGCUCGAGCGUCAACUUAGCCGGCUAGCAAUUCGGCGCAGGUCAGAGCUGAAAAGCGAAAUCUUUCUGGCAUAGUUUCGGCGCGGUUCUUCGCCGCUUCUGCUACCGCGCCGAGAUGAAAUUUAAGCGAAGCGGCUAAGUAUGUAGAUUCCUUCGGGGAUGGCUGCCAGACGAGAGUUCGAUUCUCUCCACCUCCAUCG
rnacentral:tmRNA from 1 species